GGUUAUAUUAUAUUGAAACACCAGUCCCCGUACAAUUACCGAAGUUAAGCAACGUCGAACCUGGUCAGUACCUAGAUGGGUUACCGCUUGGGAAUACC